rnacentral:rRNA from 1 species
UGGGGAAUAUUGCACAAUGGGCGCAAGCCUGAUGCAGCCAUGCCGCGUGUGUGAAGAAGGCCUUCGGGUUGUAAAGCACUUUCAGCGGGGAGGAAGGCGGUGAGGUUAAUAACCUCAUCGAUUGACGUUACCGACAGAAGAAGCACCGGCUAACUCCGUGCCAGCAGCCGCGGUAAUACGGAGGGUGCAAGCGUUAAUCGGAAUUACUGGGCGUAAAGCGCACGCAGGCGGUUGAUUGAGUCAGAUGUGAAAUCCCCGGGCUUAACCCGGGAAUUGCAUCUGAUACUGGUCAGCUAGAGUCUUGUAGAGGGGGGUAGAAUUCCAUGUGUAGCGGUGAAAUGCGUAGAGAUGUGGAGGAAUACCGGUGGCGAAGGCGGCCCCCUGGACAAAGACUGACGCUCAGGUGCGACAGCGUGGGGAGCAAACAGG